rnacentral:rRNA from 1 species
UGGGAACCGGCGUAAGGGGCAGUAAGGCAUGGGUACCUACCUUUGGGUUCGGGAUAGCCAUCAGAGAUGGUGGGUAAUACCGGAUGACGUCGUGAGACCAAAGAUUUAUCGCCCGAAGAGGGGCCCAUGUGAUAUUAGCUUGUUGGUGAGGUAACGGCUCACCAAGGCGAAGAUGUCUAGCGGGUGUGAGAGCACGACCCGCGCCACUGGCACUGAGACACUGGCCAGACAC